rnacentral:lncRNA from 1 species
GGGGAUCAUCGGACCUGAAACUCGAAGGUAAAAGUGAGGACACAAGACACGGAUUUAUACAGGUUUGGACCGCUAGAGUAGCGUCCCUACAUCCUGUUUGGGUGUUGUAUAUUGCGCCCUGCGCUUGGGUGUUGAGCUUAGGUGAGCUGUCAAUCUAGGUACCCUCGCCCUCCUUUAUAUAUCACAGAAGGUGGGAUUACUAGUCGGAUUACAAGAAGUCCUAGUAGGAGUACACGGGACUAGUCCUAGUCAGAUUACUGGAGAAUCCUAGUAGGAGUCCGACUUCUUCCUUCCUUGUGGGUACUGGGGAUCUAUCCCCGACAGUGCACCCUAGGUGAGGCGGCCGACCGAGCGACCAGAACUGUGACCGGAGCCCUAGCCCGGAUGGGCCGGGACCACGGGCCUUCGGUCGCCGUAUCCAAAAAGCACCUUUCCCAUAGCGCUUCCGACUGCCCACCAACAUCACCAAGUACACUAGGGAGACGAACCCCAGAGUGUGGCUUGAAGACUUCCGACUUG